CGCAGAUAUCAGGAGGAACACCGAUGGCGAAGGCAGGUCUCUGGGCAUUAACUGACGCUGAGGAGCGAAAGCAUGGGGAGCGAACAGGAUUAGAUACCCUGGUAGUCCAUGCCGUAAACGUUGGGCACUAGGUGUGGGGGACAUUCCACGUUUUCCGCGCCGUAGCUAACGCAUUAAGUGCCCCGCCUGGGGAGUACGGCCGCAAGGCUAAAACUCAAAGGAAUUGACGGGGGCCCGCACAAGCGGCGGAGCAUGCGGAUUAAUUCGAUGCAACGCGAAGAACCUUACCAAGGCUUGACAUGGGCCGGACCGGGCUGGAAACAGUCCUUCCCCUUUGGGGCCGGUUCACAGGUGGUGCAUGGUUGUCGUCAGCUCGUGUCGUGAGAUGUUGGGUUAAGUCCCGCAACGAGCGCAACCCUUGUUCCAUGUUGCCAGCGCGUAAUGGCGGGGACUCAUGGGAGACUGCCGGGGUCAACUCGGAGGAAGGUGGGGACGACGUCAAAUCAUCAUGCCCCUUAUGUCUUGGGCUUCACGCAUGCUACAAUGGCCGGUACAAAGGGUUGCGAUACUGUGAGGUGGAGCUAAUCCCAAAAAGCCGGUCUCAGUUCGGAUUGGGGUCUGCAACUCGACCCCAUGAAGUCGGAGUCGCUAGUAAUCGCAGAUCAGCAACGCUGCGGUGAAUACGUUCCCGGGCCUUGUACACACCGCCCGUCAAGUCACGAAAGUUGGUAACACCCGAAGCCGGUGGCCUAACCCCUUGUGGGAGGGAGCUGUCGAAGGUGGGACUGGCGAUGGACUAA
rnacentral:rRNA from 1 species